ensembl:lncRNA
UUUUUUUUUUUUUUUUUUAAUUUUUUGCCUUUUAGGGCCGCACUCGUGGCAUAUAGAGUUUCCCAGCGUAGGGGUCUAAUCGGAGCUGUAGCUGCUGGCCUAUACCACAGCCACAGCAACACCAGAUCCAAGCCACAUCUGCGACCUAUACCACAGCUCAUGGUAACACCGGAUCCUUAACCCACUGAGCGAGGCUAGGGAUUGAACCCACAACCUCAUGGUUCCUAGGCGGAUUCAUUUCCCACUGUGCCACGACGGGAACUCCUAGACUUUAGACUUUAAGAAGUGUCAGCAAAACUUAUCACUAGAGAGUUUUGGAAGUUGGGCAGGAAGACCAUCUGGAAACCAGCGGAAUAUUAAAAGCUAGAGAAACAGGUGGUAGCUAAAGCCACAAAUGAGUGUGGCACAACUGAGGGAAUGACAGCACAAGACAGUACAGGUCGGAGCCUUUGGAGCGCAUCCCAGACUGUUCUGGGCGGAUGUGGAAGAAAGGCAAAGCACAAGCAGAGGCCGUGGAGGAUGCCAGGAGGCUUUGCGACGAACACGCUCUAUUCAGAACUGGAGCCGAAGCGGAAGAGGGAUAUCUUGGUCCCGUCUUAAGAGCAAAAGUACAGAGUUUGUGCUUUUAGAGCAAAGAAGGCAAUCCCGGGGAAGGGGAGGUGAGUGUCUUUUUUGAGAUGUUCAAGGUACCAUCCAGUAACCCAGGGCCAGUUUCUGGAGCAACUGGAUUGAAAGUCGAGGCCAGGUGUGAACUCAGUGCGCAGAACCAUGAAGGAGGUUUGAGGGCUCCCUUCCCUCAGUCUGAUAACUAUCUGGCCCUUUCAGGUAUUGGGUUAUGCAGCGCCUGGCUUGGAAUUCAGGAGUCCUGAUUUCUCUUAAUGAUUCUUUCUGCUCCCUGCCUGGUUUCCCUGAAAAGGAGUGUGAGUCAAGGAGAUGCCCGGUACCUGGUGAGGUACUGGACCUGUUUAUCACACAGCUAAAAAAUAAAUAAAUAAAUAAGUUCACUAAGAAUCCCCUCUUGUAAGAUUUCUUUGGAAAUAAGGGAAGGUUAGUCUCUGGUUUCAUUUUUAUACACUGGUAGUUUGGGGAAGAGAACUUGCUGACCUGGUCAAGGUCACACAGAAGGCCACAGGUCUCCUUUAUGCGGGUUCCCUGGCACUGUGCCUUAUCUUGGUUUAUUUAGCCUUCAACUCAAGCAGUAGUUCGUUCUUCUAGAAGGUGGUGGCUAGAAGGAGUCACCCGAGACUAGUGGAAAGGAAGGUUACAUGUUUUGUAAUUUUCAGCAACACCUAAGAACAGGUGUUAGAUUUGCCUCAGGAAUAUGAACACGGAGAAGGGAGAUAUAUAUAUAUAUACAGACAGUCACAGAUGUCAUUUAUUACAGCAGUGAGCACUAGCCCCAAUGGCUCCCUCUCCAGUGAAUCCACAUUAACUGCUCAUACAGGUGUGGCAGCUGCUGGGAAGAUAUCUCUUGGUAGAGCCCUAAUGUGAAUUUGUUUGGGGGCCUAAAAGACCACUGGUAAAUUGAGGUGGUCAGCUGGUCACCGUGAAGGCGUAAUGUGAAAACCACUGGGGAGGACGGACAGAGUUGAACUUUCCCUAGCCCUAUAGAAGGGCUCUUUUUGACGAAAUGUUGUAUUUUGGAUUGGGCAACUUUGAAAAUAUACAAUGGGAUAUGCAGUACCUAGAUCUUAAAAUGGAGAGCCCAGGUUUAGUAAGAGUUCAGUGAAGGUUUGCCUAGUAGAAGAUUGGGAAUCCUGGAGCUAUUAGGGAGUAGAGAAAUAAACACUGCAUAAUUUAAUGAACUAAAAAACAUAUAAACCUUGAAGGAUAAAACAGCUUUAAUAAAUAUGGGGGAGGAAAACCUUUCCCUUUCUCCCUUCCAGGUUCUUUAGCUGGUCUAAUAAUUAAAUUGACAUAAGACAGAUUAACAGGAGAAAAAAAAAAUCUGUACUUAAAGGAGCCCAUAAAAAUAUGAUACUCAAAGGAGUGACUGAAAGGAGGCAGCUUUUAUGCCCUUUAGACAAAGAAACAAUACAUCUGUGAAGAACUGCCAGGACAAAGGGGCUUGGGCUUGGGGUGGCUGACGAGGGAAGAAGUAGCAAGGUCUGUUUCUACAGCCUUCCCGGUCCGCACGUCCCUGUGUCUGGGAAUGAAGAUGCUUCCCACCCUCGUGGCAGGGAGAGCACCUUGCACAGGGGAGAUAUACUUCCUAUUUUCAGGGGAACAGAGGGGGUCAGUGUCCUUACUGCACUGCUGUUUCUUUCUUUCUUUUUCUUUUUUUUUCUUUUGUCUUUUUGCCUUUUCUAGGGCUGCUCCCAUGGCAUAUGGAAGUUCCCAGGCUAGGGGUCAAUUCGGAGCUGUAGCCACCGGCUUACGCUAAGAACCACAGCAACACAGGAUCCGAGUUGCGUCUUUGACCUACACCACAGCUCACGGCAAUGCCGCUGAGCAAGGCCAGGGGUCAAACCUGCAACCUCAUGGUUCCUAGUCAGAUUCAUUAACCACUGUGCCACAACGGGAACUCCAUGCACUGCUCUUUCUUAUGUAGCUUUUGUUCAAGAUGAUCAGUGUGCCAAAUUGGCUUAUAUUGAAAUGGUUUAAGUGGCAUCUGGGCUCUUUCAAGUUCCUUCUGCAAGCUCCUGACCAUUUAUUUAUUUUAUAAAACCCUUUGGCAAACCUCAGAAUUUCAUCAGCUCCUGCUGGAAUCUUGAAGAUCAACUUCUGUGGUCCACAAACCAGAUGUGGCACAGAGCAGGUCAGGAGAGUUUACCGGGUUGUUCCCCACUCUCCUGGAGCACAGAUUAGUAUUGGAUUACACCAGCGGUGCUUAAUCAGGGGCAAUUUUGCCCCAAGGGAACACUGGACAUUCUCUAGAGAGAUUUCUGGUUGUCACAACUCAAGGAGACAGGCCAACCUCCCCCAAUUGAGAAAUAUUUGGCUUCAAAGGUUGAAAAUGCCAAUACUGAGCAACCCUGGUCUAGCACUUAGGAAAGAAGGAAUAAAGGCAAUGGGAGCCCCAAACAGGGCUAGGAGUCCAGGAUCCCGAGAGAAAGGAGAAAGAAUCUUAUGGCUGCCGGAGAAGAUCUUUAUGCUUAGUCUUCCUGGCACCAGAGAGAAAGAAGGAUGGCAAACGAAUAUUGAUAAGGGAACACUGUCAUUUCUGUACUGAUGAGUAGUAACUGUACAAAUACCUGUACUUUAGUGAAAACAAAAGGAAUGUAUCUGUGACUGUAGAUCCUGUUUGUGCCACACUGCUACAGGAAUAAGUACAGACCUAACCCCAGAACAUGAUAUGGUCUUUUUUUUUUUUUGCUUUUUUAGGGCCUCACCUGCAGUAUAUUGACAUUCCCAGGCUAGGGAUGGAAUCAGAGCUGCAGCUGCUGGCCAUAGCCACAGCAACCAGGCCACCACGUUUGCCACCUACACCACAGGUCACUGCAACGCUGGAUCCUUAACCCACUGAGAGAGGCCAUGGAUACUAGUCGGGUUUGUUUCCACUGAGCCACAAAAGAAACUCCCCAUGAUAGGGUCAUGCCAGCUGAAUUCAUUCCAUCCCUCUGUAAACUUAUCACAUCGGCUACCCUGGCAUAACUAUUCCUUAAACGAGAAGAGUGUAUUCCUACUUCUACACCUUACACAACUCUGGAAUCUCAAGCCUUCUGCUGCUUUCACCUAAACCUAAGACAUCUCUUCUUUGGAUGCUCAGUUCAAACCCCACCUCCUUCCUACAAGCACACCUGUCCAAACUAUUUAUUUAGCAUUGGCAAUACCUCAUGCAUGGCAAUAAGCUAACACUUAAUGACAGCUGACUAUGCUGGGCACUACUAUUUCAAGUGCCUCGCAAGUAUAUAUGAAUUAAUCUUCACAACCACCAUGACAGAGGUACUGUUAUUCUCACCAUUUUACAGAUUAAGAAACUUAAGACCUAAAGUGGUUAAGUAACCAGCCCAAGAUUAUACUACUAGAAAGUGACAGAGUCUGGGUUCAAACCCAAGCAAUUAGUCUGCAGAACCUAAAUCCAAAACCAUUAUGCUACAGGUAACAUCCCAUCAAUCAAUCAUAUUCGUUAAAUUACGUAAAAGAGCUCUAAAAGCUACUUCGGAGGGAAAGCCACAAUAAAACCAACAAAUCCAAACAAAAGAGCUUUCUGAUUAUCUUUGAGAAAGGGAAGGUAGUAAUGUAUGAAGGUGAAGUUUAAAAACAGACCAGAGUUAGAACACCAGCUCUAUCUCUUUCUAGCUGAGUGCUCUGAGCAAGUCACUUCAUCUUUCUCAGCAUGAGCCCCUGCGUCUGAAAGAUUAACCUACUUUUUAGGAUGGUUGUGAGAACAACAAUUAUAAAACAGUAUUAAACGGUAACCAAAAAACCGUAUUUCUUUGUCACAAUACAUUAACAUGGCUAAUUUCCUUAAUACCGCAAGCCUGUAAAACAAACAUUAAUUAUCUUUAAUGAAAAGAGCUUUGCCUCUGGGCAUCAGAGUGAAGCAGCAGAGAGCCUUUAACUCAUUAAAGAAAAAUGCAAAUAAAUAAAAAAAGCAAACAGGCAGCCGAGGGAAAGUUCCCUGAAGUAUAAGGACAAACGGGAAUAUAUUCAAAAGUGUGAGUUCUGGAAAGCAUGCCAUAAGAUUAAGAUUGGCCGAAUGGUCUGUAAUGAAAACCUGACAAGAGAGCUGUGCAAAAAUCAACAGCUUGUGUAGGUCCAGUGAGCAGUUCAAGCUCUAGGAAGUGAGAGAGGAACGGAUUCCCCUGUGUAAAGAGCCCAUCCAUGCAAUAUGCUCAUGUCCCAGCCAGAGGUAAGGAGCAGCGUAAACUCUUUUUGGCGGGUAAAUCCGACCCACUCCCGAGGUCCGUCUCUAACUUUGGAUCAGGGCCGCGGAAAAGAGAAGCGGCAAACACUGCGCGGAAUGGGACUGUGCUUAUAUUGCAACAAUCUUUGGGCGGGGAGGGGGUGAGCAAGGAAAUGUAAUCUUGGGGAAAGGUGGCAUUGGAGAGGUGACAUCUCCACAAAAUGCCUCCAAAGAGUCGAAACUCGGUGACUCCUAGGACUCAAGGCCCUGCAAAGAAUACCUUGAAGCUCGAAAGUUCCUACGUGGCUCAGCAGGAACGAACCCGACUAGUAUUUACGAGGACGGGGAUUCGAUCCCUGACCUCGCUCACUUGGGUUAAGGAUCCAGCGUUGCCGUGAGCUGCACUAUAUAGGUCGCAGACUCCGCUCGCAUCUAGCAUUACUGUGCUUGUGGUGCAGGCCAGCAGCUGUAGCUCCGAUUCGACCUCUAGCCUGGUAACCUCCAUAUGCAGCGGGCUCGGCCCUUAAAAAAGAAAAAAAAAAAAAAAAAAAAAAAAANAAA